rnacentral:lncRNA from 1 species
GCCAGUAAUAGCCUUGUCGGAAUAGUUUGUGGGAUAAAGAUUUGGUCCCCAGGUGACUUUCGCAGACUCCCUCAUAUACCUCCCAUAAGGCGAAGUCGGCUUCAGAAGGUCGGAGACAUUUCAGGAGGGGCAAAGAGUACGACCUCUUGUACAACUUGCCUUCAUAAAGAAUAUAUCGGGAGGCCUGAUUCCUAAGCUUUCGAGCUUCUUUUGCAUCAGGAGGAAGAACCCCAUCCUUGAGGUAUGCAACCAGUGGGUCAAUCCA